CUUGGGCCCACAGCUGUCUGAUGUCGAGUGUCUUAAAGCUGAUAAAGCUGGUAUCUGUCUCCAUAUUGUGCCUGUGCCUUUGCUACCUUGUGUGUCAGAUUCUACUCAGUUGUACGCAUAGGCCCGCUGAUCGUUUGAGAAAUUAUUUUCUCCAAAACUAUGAUGCAGGUUUAAUCUGAGGUAGACUUUCCUAGUGCCUCUCCCCCUUAAAGGUUAAAGACAGCUGCUGGCUGCCAUGACCUGAAACACCAGAGCACAAGAGGAAUGGAGAGGUAGCAGCCAAGUUCCUGGGUGAUCUCUGCCUAGUCCUACGAAAGGUAUGAAUCUUCCUCCUCUGUAGUAUCUUCUCUCUGUGUUUAUGCCUAUCUUAUAUCUAAUUCAGCUCCCUUGAGUUGAGAAAAUCAGGGGCCAAAGCUCCCAAUUCUUCAUUCUUUAGCACUAAAUAAAGCUCUUUUUUCUUGAGUCAUCGGCCAUAUCAAGUAGCAGCAGAAUUGUAGCUUUUCUUGGUUACAAAAAUAUAAACAAUCUAAAAAAUCAUAUAUUUAAAAUCAGAUAUUUAAACAAAAGGUUGGUAGAAGGAUAUAUUUAUAAAUACCAAUAUGUUAGUAGGGAAAGUGAUUUCAUAAUAUUCGUCAAUACAUAUGAACAUGUUCAUGUUCAUAAAUUUUGCUCAGGUUACCCAACUCUGAAAAUUGAACCUCAGGAAAUAAUCCGACAUAAUAAAACCAUUAUAAGCUUCUUUGGAGGAGUUUGGUUCACAUGGCCUCCUUACAGAUGGAAGUCCUUUUAG
rnacentral:lncRNA from 1 species